rnacentral:tRNA from 1 species
AUUUAAGUAGUUUAUAAAAAAUGUUGGUUUGUGGAACCAAAGAUAUAUGUGAUUAUAUUUUAAAUC